GUGGGGAAUAUUGGACAAUGGGCGCAAGCCUGAUCCAGCCAUGCCGCGUGAGUGAUGAAGGCCCUAGGGUUGUAAAGCUCUUUCACCGAUGAAGAUAAUGACGGUAGUCGGAGAAGAAGCCCCGGCUAACUUCGUGCCAGCAGCCGCGGUCAUACGAAGGGGGCUAGCGUUGUUCGGAAUUACUGGGCGUAAAGCGCACGUAGGCGGAUAUUUAAGUCAGGGGUGAAAUCCCAGAGCUCAACUCUGGAACUGCCUUUGAUACUGGGUAUCUCGAGUAUGGAAGAGGUGAGUGGAAUUCCGAGUGUAGAGGUGAAAUUCGUAGAUAUUCGGAGGAACACCAGUGGCGAAGGCGGCUCACUGGUCCAUUACUGACGCUGAGGUGCGAAAGCGUGGGGAGCAAACAGGAUUAGAAACCCGUGUAGUCC
rnacentral:rRNA from 1 species